rnacentral:misc_RNA from 1 species
AAGGAGUCUAACAUAUCUGCGAGUAUUUCGGUGUCAAACCCGAGUGCGCAAUGAAAGUGAACGUAGGAGCCACGCGCAAGCUGCAGCUUCGACCGCUCUGGAUCUUUAGUCAUGGAUUUGAGUAAGAGCAUAUAUGUUGGGACCCGAAAGAUGGUGAACUAUGCCUGAAUAGGGCGAAGCCAGAGGAAACUCUGGUGGAGGCUCGUAGCGAGUCUGACGUGCAAAUCGAUCGUCAAAUGUGGGUAUAGGGGCGAAAGACUAAUCGAACCAUCUAGUAGCUGGUUCCUGC